ACUCAAAUGAAUUGACGGGGGCCCGCACAAGCGGUGGAUGAUGUGGAUUAAUUCGAUGCAACGCGAAAAACCUUACCUACGCUUGACAUGUCCGAGAUCCCGAAGAGAUUUGGGAGUGCUCGAAAGAGAAUCGGAACACAGGUGCUGCAUGGCUGUCGUCAGCUCGUGUCGUGAGAUGUUGGGUUAAGUCCCGCAACGAGCGCAACCCUUGUCAUUAGUUGCUACAUUUAGUUGGGCACUCUAAUGAGACUGCCGGUGACAAACCGGAGGAAGGUGGGGAUGACGUCAAGUCCUCAUGGCCCUUAUGCGUAGGGCUUCACACGUCAUACAAUGGUCGGUACAGAGGGUCGCCAACCCGCGAGGGGGAGCCAAUCUCAGAAAGCCGAUCGUAGUCCGGAUCGUAGUCUGCAACUCGACUACGUGAAGUCGGAAUCGCUAGUAAUCGCGGAUCAGCAUGUCGCGGUGAAUACGUUCCCGGGCCUUGUACACACCGCCCGU
rnacentral:rRNA from 1 species